UACGAAGGGGGCGAGCGUUGUUCGGAAUUACUGGGCGUAAAGGGCGCGCAGGCGGCUCAGACAGUCAGAUGUGAAAGCCCCGGGCUUAACCUGGGAACUGCAUUUGAUACUACUGAGCUUGAGUACGGGAGAGGAUAGUGGAAUUCCCAGUGUAGAGGUGAAAUUCGUAGAUAUUGGGAAGAACACCGGUGGCGAAGGCGGCUCACUGGCCCGUUACUGACGCUCAGGCGCGACAGCGUGGGGAUCAAACAGG
rnacentral:rRNA from 1 species